UGUAAAAGUAGAAGUAAUAGUCGGAGUGUCAGUGGGACUGAGUCUAAUCUUGCUCCUCAUCAUCAUACUGGGCCUGAUUUGCUGCUACAAGAAGAGCAAAGGUGAUUCUGCAGCUCAGCCCAGUGAUGACACUUACGCUGAGAUUAUGACUACAAACAGCUACAGAGGAAGCGAUGAAGGAGCCACACAACCAAAUGA